rnacentral:lncRNA from 1 species
GUUUCGCCAGUUGUGGUGCGUUGUGUGAUGUGAUAGGCCCAUAAGACUUCGAGCAAGAGUUCAGCCCAGUCCCCUUUCUUGACUCCUAGCUUCUUUUUGGGUGUGCGCUUAAAAUCUUGUUGAUGGCCUGGACUUAGCCAUUGGCUUGGGGAUGCGCUGGUGAUGAGAAGCAGAGAGUGAUGUUAAAAUUUGAACUGAAUUCUCGAAAUCGAGCGUUAUCGAAUUGUCG